UAGCUACAGGCUUAACACAUGCAAGUCGAGUGGCAGCAUGGUCUUAGCUUGCUAAGGCCGAUGGCGACCGGCGCACGGGUGAGUAACACGUAUCCAACCUGCCGUCUACUCUUGGACAGCCUUCUGAAAGGAAGAUUAAUACAAGAUGGCAUCAUGAGUCCACAUGUUCACAUGAUUAAAGGUAUUCCGGUAGACGAUGGGGAUGCGUUCCAUUAGAUAGUAGGCGGGGUAACGGCCCACCUAGUCUUCGAUGGAUAGGGGUUCUGAGAGGAAGGUCCCCCACAUUGGAACUGAGACACGGUCCAAACUCCUACGGGAGGCAGCAGUGAGGAAUAUUGGUCAAUGGGCGCAGGCCUGAACCAGCCAAGUAGCGUGAAGGAUGACUGCCCUAUGGGUUGUAAACUUCUUUUAUAAAGGAAUAAAGUCGGGUAUGCAUACCCGUUUGCAUGUACUUUAUGAAUAAGGAUCGGCUAACUCCGUGCCAGCAGCCGCGGUAAUACGGAGGAUCCGAGCGUUAUCCGGAUUUAUUGGGUUUAAAGGGAGCGUAGAUGGAUGUUUAAGUCAGUUGUGAAAGUUUGCGGCUCAACCGUAAAAUUGCAGUUGAUACUGGAUAUCUUGAGUGCAGUUGAGGCAGGCGGAAUUCGUGGUGUAGCGGUGAAAUGCUUAGAUAUCACGAAGAACUCCGAUUGCGAAGGCAGCCUGCUAAGCUGCAACUGACAUUGAGGCUCGAAAGUGUGGGUAUCAAACAGGAUUAGAUACCCUGGUAGUCCACACGGUAAACGAUGAAUACUCGCUGUUUGCGAUAUACAGCAAGCGGCCAAGCGAAAGCGUUAAGUAUUCCACCUGGGGAGUACGCCGGCAACGGUGAAACUCAAAGGAAUUGACGGGGGCCCGCACAAGCGGAGGAACAUGUGGUUUAAUUCGAUGAUACGCGAGGAACCUUACCCGGGCUUAAAUUGCAGAUGAAUUACGGUGAAAGCCGUAAGCCGCAAGGCAUCUGUGAAGGUGCUGCAUGGUUGUCGUCAGCUCGUGCCGUGAGGUGUCGGCUUAAGUGCCAUAACGAGCGCAACCCUUGUUGUCAGUUACUAACAGGUUCCGCUGAGGACUCUGACAAGACUGCCAUCGUAAGAUGUGAGGAAGGUGGGGAUGACGUCAAAUCAGCACGGCCCUUACGUCCGGGGCUACACACGUGUUACAAUGGGGGGUACAGAGGGCCGCUACCACGCGAGUGGAUGCCAAUCCCAAAAACCUCUCUCAGUUCGGACUGGAGUCUGCAACCCGACUCCACGAAGCUGGAUUCGCUAGUAAUCGCGCAUCAGCCACGGCGCGGUGAAUACGUUCCCGGGCCUUGUACACACCGCCCGUCAAGCCAUGGGAGCCGGGGGGUACCUGAAGUGCGUAACCGCGAGGAGCGCCCUAGGGUAAAACUGAUGAA
rnacentral:rRNA from 1 species